CCUACGGGGGGCUGCAGUGGGGAAUAUUGGACAAUGGGGGGGACCCUGAUCCAGCCAUGCCGCGUGUGUGAAGAAGGCCCUCGGGUUGUAAAGCACUUUCAGUGAGGAAGAACGCCUGGUGGUUAAUACCCAUCAGGAAAGACAUCACUCACAGAAGAAGCACCUGCUAACUCCGUGCCAGCAGCCGCGGUAAUACGGAGGGUGCGAGCGUUAAUCGGAAUUACUGGGCGUAAAGCGCGCGUAGGUGGCUUGAUAAGCCGGUUGUGAAAGCCCCGGGCUCAACCUGGGAACGGCAUCCGGAACUGUCAAGCUAGAGUGCAGGAGAGGAAGGUAGAAUUCCCGGUGUAGCGGUGAAAUGCGUAGAGAUCGGGAGGAAUACCAGUGGCGAAGGCGGCCUUCUGGACUGACACUGACACUGAGGUGCGAAAGCGUGGGUAGCAAACAGGAUUAGAUACCCCAGUAGUC
rnacentral:rRNA from 1 species